rnacentral:lncRNA from 1 species
GCACUAGAACAACAAAGAUGAGAUAUUCUACACAACAAUCAGCUUAUCUGGAAUCCCUUUCCCUUGCAAGGCCAGAGAAAAAUCGCAGCUUCAUUGUCUGAAGGAAGAGGACUCAGGAAAAUGCAACUUCACCUGAAGCAAGAUCUUUUAUGGCUUGGCAAUCCCAACCUUGCCGGUGUGAAAGGACCGACCUACCUCUGGAACCCGGAGGGCAACUGUGGCAGCAAAAUCCCAAAGUGUUGCUGCCUAUGGUGACUGUGCUAGAACUGAAACUUCUCAGGAAGCCAGGCUGUUAAAAUUGUGAUGCCCUGUACUCAACAAUACCAUGGAUUAUCUAGUCCAAAGUGGAAAGCAAGCCCUUACGGUAAUGUCAUUUGCAUCCUCAACACCCAGAACGCCCUGUUUCUCUUUCCCUGAAUAAAACUACAUUCAAAUCCCAUUGAACACCCAGGUUCAAACCUCCAUUUGUCAGCUGACAAGACCAAGAAUACUCUAAGGUGUUUAAGUCAUUCACGAGUGUCUAGAAAUUUCCAUAGGAAAACUUUGACAACUUUGAAGGCAUGCAUCUCCCCACCCAAGACCCUAGCCAACAACCAUCCUACAAGUCCGUGAGUUCGAAGUUCCCAUGGCUUCUGUACAGUCCCUGUGUCAACAUAAAGCUAAGUUUCAUACACACCCUGGAUCCUUGUCCCUUACAAACACUAAAGGUUUUGUUUGACUUAACUUCAAGCUGUUCAUCUGUUAGUAAGUACUGCUCACCCUAAAACACAUUCAUGAUGAGAGCUUUCUAAAACACCAGUAUGGCCUUCCCCUCCAAUAAUCAUAAUACUCAGAUUAGCCUAAGAUGUGCUACUGGGCAGUUUGGCGGUGGGGUGGGGGUGGUAGAUAUUUAGUGCCUGGAGCUGCCACAGAGCAGGGAAAACCUCACACUGGAACGAAGGAAGUAAUCUCAGUACAGUCCCGCUUAAGCCAAUUAUCUGUUUACAUUUGAUUUCAAUACCCUAUUGAAAACAAUGCAGUGGAGGAGGAAAUGUAAGAAUACAUAGCAACACUCUAACCUUCUUUUGCCUAUAGUUGUUAUUGCAGUGUGUUAAAGUCUGAUAGCAGGCCUCACUGUCAAUUCAUCAGGGCUUGUGCUAGCAGGUUCUGGCUAGAGACCAUCUCCGUCAUCACCAUCACCUAAGACCUGUUGGCUGUCCCAUCAGGCACUAAGAGGCUCAUGGUCUGCAAGGGUCCCCAAACAGCUGAAUCCAGUUCUCACUUAUUUCCUUGAGCUCAAUCUCACAGAUAAGAAUUAAGAUGAUGCCCAUCAUAGAAAAGCAGCUCAGAAAUGCAAACCUUUUUCUGAACCAAGAGCUAUCAGCAAAUCUCAAAUAUCAGAACAGCUCUGGUUGACUGAAAAGUGUCACGAACCCUGGGCCAAGAAUGAUUUCAGGCUCACAAACUAAUCUGUCUGGUCCUGCAAUUUAUGUGAGCAGAGUCACUCAUGAGAAAACUCUUAAGAAACGUCCAGGCCACCCCACACCCCUGACGUUAGUGUAUCAGACCAGCUGAGAGUGGCAGGAUGUUAACUGCCCUCCAGGUGACAUGAAUAAAUAGCCCCAUUGUUUUCACAACCCUGGAUUCCUGCCUGAAGAAACCCUAGACCUCAGACCAGUUCUCUGGGACAAAACUGCACACAGUUCAAAUGCUAACUCUUCGAGAUAGUAUCUACGGUCUAAACCAAGAGAUAAGCAGUUACUUACAAAAAUGUCAGUAAGAAGGCCUGUUCACUUCAAAAAACAAAAAUAAAUAAAAUUUUUCAUUUAAAUAAAAA